GCCAGGGGUGGUGGCGCAUGCCUGUAAUCCCAACGGCUUGGGAGGCUGAGGCAGGAGGAUCAAAGGUUCAAAGUCAGCCUCAACUUAGUGAGGCUGUAAGCAACCUCAUGAGACCCUGUCUCAA
rnacentral:sRNA from 1 species